rnacentral:lncRNA from 1 species
CUUGGCAGUUGAGAUUCAGACCUUGACAGUUGUAACCGAUAGACUGGGCUGGGGCAACGCUGAUGAAAGGCAAAUUCCUGAGAGAAAAAUCACCCAGAUUUUUCAGUGCCUUCUCUAGCUUUCUAGAAGUUGUUAUGAGUGGACCUGACUACCUAGAGAGAGUAAUACAGAAGCUCCGUGCCGAUCACAGCUACCUCAUUACCAUGUUCCUCCAAGAUGGCCGCCCCUGAGGAGAAUCAUCAACUGGGCUUUACGGAAGAGAGAAAUCCAAACGACCAUCAGCAACAAAUGAAAGACUGAAGUUGAAAGUUUCAAGAUUGUCAAGAAUGACGAGUUGGACUUGGUCUAGUUACUUCCACAGCAGCAGGAGGAACAUGUGUGUGACUCAGGAUAACUGGGGAAGCCUUGGCUAGGCUUUCCUCAUGUCAACCUACCACUCAAAGGGAGAAAACCUCCUGAUCAGAGGUGCCCAGAACCCAGGAAAUCCAUAAUUUUUGAAUGCUGGCCGAGGUCUGUGACCUCUGACUGAAUGGUUUCCAAGCUCCGAAUUCCUAGGUGAUGUUUUCAUUUGUUCACACUUGCUGAAGAAGGGAAAGGCUCUCUGAUUUACGUGUAAGCAAAACAAUCUAAACAGUAGGAUAAAAUCAUGUUGGAAUGGAGUUCUGUGUGGAUGCUCCUUUGAACCAAAUCAGUUCCACAACUGACCCUGUCAGGGACAUAUAAAUUUAGCAUUUUGGUGUGGAUACAGAAGACGAGAUUAACACAGAUCAAGUAACAUGGAAAUAAAAAAGGAGACAAUGCUGGAUGAUACAGGGGCAGCCAACAAGAGGAGAAAACCCAAGCAUUGGCAAAUGCCUCAUUAUCCAAAGAACACUGAGGUGUGGAGCAAAACUGUGUUGAAUGAACUGUAGAUGGAAAUUCUCUCCUUCCCACCGAGGAGCCGCUGCAG